rnacentral:rRNA from 1 species
GUCUACGGCCAUACCACAUUGAACGCGCCCGAUCUCGUCUGAUCUCGGAUGGUAACCAGGGUCAGGCCUGGUUAGUACUUGGAUGGGAGAAAGCACAUUGUUGGGAAUA